rnacentral:rRNA from 1 species
AUUGAACGCUGGCGGCAUGCUUUACACAUGCAAGUCGAACGGUAACAGGUUAAGCUGACGAGUGGCGAACGGGUGAGUAAUGCAUCGGAACGUGCCCGGUCGUGGGGGAUAACGCAGCGAAAGCUGCGCUAAUACCGCAUACGAUCUGAGGAUGAAAGCGGGGGACCGUAAGGCCUCGCGCGAUCGGAGCGGCCGAUGUCAGAUUAGGUAGUGGGUGGGGUAAAGGCUCACCAAGCCAACGAUCUGUAGCUGGUCUGCGAGGACGACCAGCCACACUGGGACUGAGACACGGCCCAGACUCCUACGGGAGGCAGCAGUGGGGAAUUUUGGACAAUGGGCGAAAGCCUGAUCCAGCAAUGCCGCGUGCAGGAAGAAGGCCUUCGGGUUGUAAACUGCUUUUGUACGGAGCGAAAAGGUCUCCUCUAAUACAGGGGGCUCAUGACGGUACCGUAAGAAUAAGCACCGGCUAACUACGUGCCAGCCGCCGCAGUAA